GCCGCCAUCACCACCACCACCAUCAUCAUCACUAUCAUUACCUCUCAAGUACUAGGCUAAAGGUUAGGGCUAAAAUCAAGAGUCACAUCAAGAGAUAGAAAACUCAACCCAAACAGGCUUAAGUAGAAGUGAAUUUAUUUGUUCACAGAAGGGGACUUUCCAUGGGUAGACCAAACUUCAGCUACUGUAAGAAAAGCCAUGCCUUACUCAGCUCUUUGGUCUCAAAAGAAGUAUGUGGGUCGAAUCUUCUUCAUUUAAACCAUGCUAACAUUGAUCAACACCCAUUUGCAUGAGCAAAAUUAGCCCUUGUCAAAAUACCACGAAGGCAACAAGGGCUCUCAACUGAAGAGCGUCUGGUGGCAAAGUUCCUUGAACAGUCCUGGAUGUGAGGGGUGCUGCUGGCUGCUAUGUAGAAGCAAAUAUUUCUACAGGGAGAUGCACAGAACCAACUCUGGAGGCUACAUCUCUGGCUACUGCUGAAGGAUUGGAUGCGAGGGAAAGGAUGGAGAAGAAUGAGACCUAACUGCUAGGAGUCUGUCCAUAGACACAGGAUGAUGGCCUUUACUAAGACUGAAAGAUUCAAGGAUGCUCGAGUUUGGUGCUGAGGUGGGAAGGAAGAAGGAAUGGCUUUGGGUCUUUCACUGAACUUGGAGCUUGCACUUUCAGCAAGGCUGGCUGGCUGGCCGGCGAGCUCCCAGGAUCUGCUUGACUCCACCUCCCCUUGCUUCCCAUCUCUGAUGUUACAGAUAAUCCUUAUGUGGAUUUUGAGAACCCAAAAUCAACUCAUUAUGCUCGGCACCAAGCAGUGUAACCACUGAACUGUUUCCCCUGCCCCUGCCCUAUAG